rfam:Kangiella koreensis DSM 16069, complete genome.
UUGACUGGCUGAAUUAGUGAUUGGCCGGUCUUGUUUAAAAUCUUGGGCAAGUCCCUGAAAUUUGGAGUAAAAAUAUGUCACUAAGUCCAGAAGCGAAAGCUGAUAUUGUAAAAGAACACGCGCGCGGUGAA